rnacentral:rRNA from 1 species
CCUACGGGGGGCUGCAGUGAGGAAUUUUCGUCAAUGGGGGCAACCCUGAACGAGCAACGCCGCGUGCAGGAAGAAGGUUUUCGGAUCGUAAACUGCUUUUCUUGGGGAAGAGAACGGACGGUACCCAAGGAAGAAGCCCCGGCUAACUACGUGCCAGCAGCCGCGGUAAUACGUAGGGGGCGAGCGUUGUCCGGAUUUAUUGGGCGUAAAGCGCACGCAGGCGGUCAUUCAAGUUCUGAGUGACAGGGGGGAGCUUAACUCCUUCAGGUCUUGGAAAACUGGAUGACUUGAGGAUGUCAGAGGGAUGCGGAAUUCCAGGUGGAGCGGUGAAAUGCGUAGAGAUCUGGAAGAACACCAAAGGCGAAGGCAGCAUCCUGGGACAUAUCUGACGCUCAGGUGCGAAAGCUAGGGGAGCGAACGGGAUUAGAUACCCCGGUAGUC